rnacentral:rRNA from 1 species
AGUGAACGCUGGCGGUAGGCCUAACACAUGCAAGUCGAACGGUAGCACAGUAAGAGCUUGCUCUUACGGGUGGCGAGUGGCGGACGGGUGAGGAAUACAUCGGAAUCUACUUUUUCGUGGGGGAUAACGUAGGGAAACUUACGCUAAUACCGCAUACGACCUACGGGUGAAAGCAGGGGAUCUUCGGACCUUGCGCGAUUGAAUGAGCCGAUGUCGGAUUAGCUAGUUGGCGGGGUAAAGGCCCACCAAGGCGACGAUCCGUAGCUGGUCUGAGAGGAUGAUCAGCCACACUGGAACUGAGACACGAUCCAGACUCCUACGGGAGGCAGCAGUGGGGAAUAUUGGACAAUGGGCGCAAGCCUGAUCCAGCCAUACCGCGUGGGUGAAGAAGGCCUUCGGGUUGUAAAGCCCUUUUGUUGGGAAAGAAAAGCAGCAGGUUAAUACCCCGCUGUUCUGACGGUACCCAAAGAAUAAGCACCGGCUAACUUCGUG